rnacentral:rRNA from 1 species
AUACGGAGGGUGCAAGCGUUGUCCGGAUUUAUUGGGUUUAAAGGGUGCGUAGGCGGCGCUAUAAGUCAGAUGUGAAAUCCCACCGCUUAACGGUGGAACUGCAUUUGAUACUGUAGUGCUUGAAUCAGGCUGAGGUCAGCGGAAUGUGUCAUGUAGCGGUGAAAUGCAUAGAUAUGACAUAGAACACCAAUUGCGAAGGCAGCUGACUAGACCUGUAUUGACGCUGAGGCACGAAAGCGUGGGGAGCGAACAGGAUUAGAAACCCUAGUAGUCC